rnacentral:rRNA from 1 species
UACGUAGGGGGCAAGCGUUGUCUGGAUUUAUUGGGCGUAAAGAGCGUGUAGGCGGCUGGGUAGGUCCGUUGUGAAAACUCGAGGCUCAACCUCGAGACGCCGAUGGAAACCCCCCAGCUAGAGUCCGGAAGAGGAGAGUGGAAUUCCUGGUGUAGCGGUGAAAUGCGCAGAUAUCAGGAGGAACACCAAUUGCGAAGGCAGCACUCUGGGACGUGACUGACGCUGAGACGCGAAAGCGUGGGGAGCAAACAGG